AUGUUUACUUUGGCAACACAUAUACUAAAACUCGAAUGAUACGGAGAAGAUUAGCAUGGCCCCUGAGCAAGGAUGACACAAAAAUUCGUGAAGUGUUCCAUAUUUUU